GCAGUGAUUUUGUGCAGUCAUGAGUGUGCAUUACACUACCAAAUAUUAUACUAGUCUGUGACGCAAUAAAAGUUACUCUGUAAAAAAAAAAUAACCUUUUGACUUUUUAUUGUUUGUGGUGCAAUGCUGCAUAAAGUUUUUCCAACUAAAGUAAAAACAAACUUUUGAAACUUUAUUCUAGCCAAAACUUGAAAAGAAAUGCCUUUAUGUAGUUUAUGUGAAAACCGCCAUAUUGAGUAAAUAUAUACUUACUAUAAUCGCAAAGGCAAAGAACAAACCUUAAUGUUUUUUCGAGACAAACAUAAUAGAACAGAAAACUAGCUGCCUGACACCUAACAAGAAGAGAUGAAGCAAAAUCUAAUAUCCUGGUCUUUCGGUACCAAAUUGUAACGUUUCGCCCUACCUCCUGCUAACUUAACUCCUACCUAAUAGAUUUAUUAGAAGAUAUUUGAAACUACAACUUACUAUUAACACUGGAUAUCUACACUGGUUAUCUACACUGGAUUCUACACUGGAUUCUUCCCACAAUGAAUCAAUACUUUUAUCAAAGAUCUUCGAAAACCGCCAGAAGGAAGCUCAAGAUUCAACUGAAAGUCUAGAAGGGAAAACAGCCUAACAAAUAAACUGGAGACUUAAAAGUGAAACAAAUACUACUUUAGUUUGGCCAUGAAACAUCCAGGGAACCCCUACGUUAUGUAGUGUAACCCAAUAAACGAAAGCUAAUGAAUUUAAUAAAACUAUGAACGUGAAUUGAAUACAACCUUCCUAA